GCGGAUAUGGUGCGCGGUGCACCACUGCAUUUCAUUAGGAUCUGGAAAUAAAAUUGAAGCAGUUGCUGGGGUUCGACUCCCCGUGUCCGCA